GAUGAACGCUGGCGGCGUGCCUAAUACAUGCAAGUCGAGCGAACGGACGAGAAGCUUGCUUUUCUGAUGUUAGCGGCGGACGGGUGAGUAACACGUGGAUAACCUACCUAUAAGACUGGGAUAACUUCGGGAAACCGGAGCUAGUACCGGAUAAUAUUUUGAACCGCAUGGUUCAUAAGUGAAAGACGGUCUUGCUGUCACUUAUAGAUGGAUCCGCGCUGCAUUAGCUAGUUGGUAAGGUAACGGCUUACCAAGGCAACGAUGCAUAGCCGACCUGAGAGGGUGAUCGGCCACACUGGAACUGAGACACGGUCCAGACUCCUACGGGAGGCAGCAGUAGGGAAUCUUCCGCAAUGGGCGAAAGCCUGACGGAGCAACGCCGCGUGAGUGAUGAAGGUCUUCGGAUCGUAAAACUCUGUUAUUAGGGAAGAACAUAUGUGUAAGUAACUGUGCACAUCUUGACGGUACCUAAUCAGAAAGCCACGGCUAACUACGUG
rnacentral:rRNA from 1 species